GGUUAAGCGACUAAGCGUACACGGUGGAUGCCCUGGCAGUCAGAGGCGAUGAAGGACGUGCUAAUCUGCGAAAAGCGUCGGUAAGGUGAUAUGAACCGUUAUAACCGGCGAUGUCCGAAUGGGGAAACCCAGUGUGAUUCGUCACACUAUCGUUAACUGAAUACAUAGGUUAACGAGGCGAACCGGGGGAACUGAAACAUCUAAGUACCCCGAGGAAAAGAAAUCAACCGAGAUUCCCCCAGUAGCGGCGAGCGAACGGGGAGCAGCCCAGAGUCUGAAUCAGCUUGUGUGUUAGUGGAACGGUCUGGAAAGUCCGACGGUACAGGGUGAUAGUCCCGUACACCAAAAUGCACAGGUUGUGAACUCGAAGAGUAGGGCGGGACACGUGGUAUCCUGUCUGAAUAUGGGGGGACCAUCCUCCAAGGCUAAAUACUCCUGACUGACCGAUAGUGAACCAGUACCGUGAGGGAAAGGCGAAAAGAACCCCGGCGAGGGGAGUGAAAAAGAACCUGAAACCGUGUACGUACAAGCAGUGGGAGCACCUUCGGGUGUGACUGCGUACCUUUUGUAUAAUGGGUCAGCGACUUAUAUUCUGUAGCAAGGUUAACCGUAUAGGGGAGCCGCAGGGAAACCGAGUCUUAACUGGGCGUUAAGUUGCAGGGUAUAGACCCGAAACCCGGUGAUCUAGCCAUGGGCAGGUUGAAGGUUGGGUAACACUAACUGGAGGACCGAACCGACUAAUGUUGAAAAAUUAGCGGAUGACUUGUGGCUGGGGGUGAAAGGCCAAUCAAACCGGGAGAUAGCUGGUUCUCCCCGAAAGCUAUUUAGGUAGCGCCUCGUGAAUUCAUCUUCGGGGGUAGAGCACUGUUUCGGCUAGGGGGUCAUCCCGACUUACCAACCCGAUGCAAACUACGAAUACCGAAGAAUGUUAUCACGGGAGACACACGGCGGGUGCUAACGUCCGUCGUGAAGAGGGAAACAACCCAGACCGCCAGCUAAGGUCCCAAAGUCAUGGUUAAGUGGGAAACGAUGUGGGAAGGCACAGACAGCCAGGAUGUUGGCUUAGAAGCAGCCAUCAUUUAAAGAAAGCGUAAUAGCUCACUGGUCGAGUCGGCCUGCGCGGAAGAUGUAACGGGGCUAAACCAUGCACCGAAGCUGCGGCAGCGACACUAUGUGUUGUUGGGUAGGGGAGCGUUCUGUAAGCCUGCGAAGGUGACCUGUGAGGGUUGCUGGAGGUAUCAGAAGUGCGAAUGCUGACAUAAGUAACGAUAAAGCGGGUGAAAAGCCCGCUCGCCGGAAGACCAAGGGUUCCUGUCCAACGUUAAUCGGGGCAGGGUGAGUCGACCCCUAAGGCGAGGCCGAAAGGCGUAGUCGAUGGGAAACAGGUUAAUAUUCCUGUACUUGGUGUUACUGCGAAGGGGGGACGGAGAAGGCUAUGUUAGCCGGGCGACGGUUGUCCCGGUUUAAGCAUGUAGGCUGGUUAUCCAGGCAAAUCCGGAUAAUCAAGGCUGAGGUGUGAUGACGAGGCACUACGGUGCUGAAGUAACAAAUGCCCUGCUUCCAGGAAAAGCCUCUAAGCAUCAGGUAACAUCAAAUCGUACCCCAAACCGACACAGGUGGUCAGGUAGAGAAUACCAAGGCGCUUGAGAGAACUCGGGUGAAGGAACUAGGCAAAAUGGUGCCGUAACUUCGGGAGAAGGCACGCUGGUGUGUAGGUGAAGUCCCUGCGGAUGGAGCUGAGACCAGUCGAAGAUACCAGCUGGCUGCAACUGUUUAUUAAAAACACAGCACUGUGCAAACACGAAAGUGGACGUAUACGGUGUGACGCCUGCCCGGUGCCGGAAGGUUAAUUGAUGGGGUUAUCCGUAAGGAGAAGCUCUUGAUCGAAGCCCCGGUAAACGGCGGCCGUAACUAUAACGGUCCUAAGGUAGCGAAAUUCCUUGUCGGGUAAGUUCCGACCUGCACGAAUGGCGUAAUGAUGGCCAGGCUGUCUCCACCCGAGACUCAGUGAAAUUGAACUCGCUGUGAAGAUGCAGUGUACCCGCGGCAAGACGGAAAGACCCCGUGAACCUUUACUAUAGCUUGACACUGAACAUUGAGCCUUGAUGUGUAGGAUAGGUGGGAGGCUUUGAAGCGUGGACGCCAGUCUGCGUGGAGCCAACCUUGAAAUACCACCCUUUAAUGUUUGAUGUUCUAACGUUGGCCCCUUACCGGGGUUGCGGACAGUGUCUGGUGGGUAGUUUGACUGGGGCGGUCUCCUCCCAAAGCGUAACGGAGGAGCACGAAGGUUAGCUAAUCCUGGUCGGACAUCAGGAGGUUAGUGCAAUGGCAUAAGCUAGCUUGACUGCGAGCGUGACGGCGCGAGCAGGUGCGAAAGCAGGUCAUAGUGAUCCGGUGGUUCUGAAUGGAAGGGCCAUCGCUCAACGGAUAAAAGGUACUCCGGGGAUAACAGGCUGAUACCGCCCAAGAGUUCAUAUCGACGGCGGUGUUUGGCACCUCGAUGUCGGCUCAUCACAUCCUGGGGCUGAAGUAGGUCCCAAGGGUAUGGCUGUUCGCCAUUUAAAGUGGUACGCGAGCUGGGUUUAGAACGUCGUGAGACAGUUCGGUCCCUAUCUGCCGUGGGCGCUGGAGAAUUGAGGGGGGCUGCUCCUAGUACGAGAGGACCGGAGUGGACGCAUCACUGGUGUUCGGGUUGUCAUGCCAAUGGCACUGCCCGGUAGCUAAAUGCGGAAGAGAUAAGUGCUGAAAGCAUCUAAGCACGAAACUUGCCCCGAGAUGAGUUCUCCCUGAGACUUUAAGUCUCCUGAAGGAACGUUAAAGACGAUGACGUUGAUAGGCCGGGUGUGUAAGCGCAGCGAUGCGUUGAGCUAACCGGUACUAAUGAACCGUGAGGCUUAACCUU
rnacentral:rRNA from 1 species